rnacentral:lncRNA from 1 species
UUGACAACAAUCAUCUUUUGAAACAGAACAUUCUGUGAUGCAUCAAUGGCAGUAGUUUCAGUGUGGGUUUUAAUUAGGAAGAAACGAUUUUGAAGGGAAUAUAAUUAUUCAUAGUAUAUCGGUCUCUGGAACCGCACACGUUAAGGAAGUGAAGUCAGUGUCAACAGAUAGACCGAGUCCAUGUGUGAACGAGUCUCGCGCGCUCGAUAUUUGAAGGCACCUCCUUCUUGCGCCUCAGGUUUGGUUGAUAAACCUCAGCUCCUCGAACCACCGGUUACUCCUGCACAGAAGAUAACAGUGCAUCUAGAGCCACAGUCACGGAGACGGGAUUUGCGCCUGUCACACACGGUCUCCCAGAUCAACAGUUCUGCGCUAUGCAAAAAAUAUGAUGAGACAUCUUGGGCACUAAAGGAAAACUGGUGUUGGGAAGGAGCAGCCUUGCGCUGGACAAUUCCACUUCAUUCGGUGCGGUUUCCGCUUCCGGACAGAGAGGUCAUCGUUCAUUUUUAAGAGA